rnacentral:misc_RNA from 1 species
GAAGCACAUAGUCAUACAUCUCAAUGCAAUUACCCAUAUAAGAUGUAAGAAAAAUCUUUCUGAAUGUUUUUCGAUCAAGUUCUUUCACUAAAAAUUUACUCUCAUUCUUAGUACACCACAAUACACCUAACAACCCUAGCGAGCACUGAAAAUCUAACUUUAGGAAGCAUAGCUCAUAUACGCCAUGUAUUUUUCUUAAUCCUUAUAUAUACCUAUUUUUGAGGCUUUACAAGCUUUAUGGGCAAUUUUUUUCUGACAUGAUGUCACGUACAGAACAGGGCACGCCUCUUAAAAAUUGUAACCCCUAGAGUUUUCUGGCUUCCUAUGGUAACCCUUAAC